UAGGGAAUCUUGCGCAAUGGGCGAAAGCCUGACGCAGCCAUGCCGCGUGUAUGAUGAAGGUCUUAGGAUUGUAAAAUACUUUCACCGGGGAAGAUAAUGACGGUACCCGGAGAAGAAGCCCCGGCUAACCUCGUG
rnacentral:rRNA from 1 species